rfam:Schistosoma curassoni strain Dakar, Senegal genome assembly, scaffold: SCTD_scaffold0000421
AUUCAGCUGACGAGUUCUAAAUAGAAUGAAACGCAUAUCCUGAAU